CCUACGGGAGGCAGCAGUGGGGAAUAUUGGACAAUGGGGGGAACCCUGAUCCAGCCAUGCCGCGUGUGUGAAGAAGGCCCUCGGGUUGUAAAGCACUUUCAGUGAGGAAGAACGCCUGGUGGUUAAUACCCAUCAGGAAAGACAUCACUCACAGACGAAGCACCGGCUAACUCCGUGCCAGCAGCCGCGGUAAUACGGAGGGUGCGAGCGUUAAUCGGAAUUACUGGGCGUAAAGCGCGCGUAGGUGGCUUGAUAAGCCGGUUGUGAAAGCCCCGGGCUCAACCUGGGAACGGCAUCCGGAACUGUCAAGCUAGAGUGCAGGAGAGGAAGGUAGAAUUCCCGGUGUAGCGGUGAAAUGCGUAGAGAUCGGGAGGAAUACCAGUGGCGAAGGCGGCCUUCUGGACUGACACUGACACUGAGGUGCGAAAGCGUGGGUAGCAAACAGGAUUAGAUACCCCGGUAGUC
rnacentral:rRNA from 1 species